rnacentral:lncRNA from 1 species
CUUGCCGCGGCCGUCGUCCACCGGGGCCGUGGCGUCCAGCAUUUCGCGGAAGCGCUCGUGGCUCCGGGCCAGCGCCAGCGCUUCGGGGUGGAAGACCACGUCGUAGACGGUGUAGCGGGCGCCGUUGCGGCCGGCAUACUGGCGGCCGGGAGCCAGGCUAUAGGGCAGGGACCAGUGGCUGCCAGCUGCCGUGCCGCCGCGCCCCGGGCCGGGCCGGCUGCUAGGUACGCCUACCAGUGAGUUGCUGCACACGUUCACGUAGCAGCGGUGCUCCCCGUCCAGGCUGGUACGCAGCACAUGGCCCGGCUCAGGGUGCACGAACCGCACAUCCACCCCACGCUCCCGCUCCAGGGCUGUGAUCUCCUCCUCGUAGCGCCUCCGGUUCUCGGGGUCCGUGAUCUCCGCGGCGUACUCGGAGAACAUUCGGCGGAACUCUGGGUCCUGAAAGGCGGAGGUGAACCGCUGCACCUCCUCUCUGCUCAGAUCCAAGUCCUCCAGCGCUGAGGAGGCCGCCGCCUUGGCCAUGGUGACCCACACGGCCCAAUGCCCAGACCCAGUGAAGGAUCAGGGUGAAUUGAGUGUCUAGGAUGCGCUUCAGAGUCUGGCUCAUGGAGAACUGACCAGUCCAAGAAGGUAACGGCUGGAUUGUCAAGGCCGGGCAGCGCGUGCUUUGUUGCCAUAGUAACGCCUGGGAGGAGGGGCAGCGAUCUGGUAGAAAUGCUAGAAAUAGGCUCCACUGUUACUUCAAACCAAGCAGACACUACCUGCUACAGGUUUUAAAUUACUGUGUCAGGAUACGUGUACUUUGCAGUCUAUUGUGGUAACUGUCCUCAUCUUCAGCGCUGUGUCUUUAUCUUAUUAACUGUUUAAUUUCACCAACAAGAGAGAAGUUUACUAGCUAAUUCACAAACCUAACUUUAUCUGACUCUCUUUACUUUGUGGAACCAACGUUAGUAAACCCUUACCAUUUUCAGGUAUUCCACCUUAUAGUUGUCUCCCAGAAACCCUUGGGGGCAAAAGAUGACAAAACAAAUCCCAGAGAUUAAUAAGCAUCAGAAAGGUGUUCGCUUUUUAUAAUGUAAAUGCAAGCUCUCAAAUCACUUAGCAAAAUUACAG